rnacentral:rRNA from 1 species
GAUGAACGCUGACAGAAUGCUUAACACAUGCAAGUCUACUUGAUCCUUCGGGUGAUGGUGGCGGACGGGUGAGUAACGCGUAAAGAACUUGCCCUGCAGUCUGGGACAACAUUUGGAAACGAAUGCUAAUACCGGAUAUUAUGUGAGUUUCGCAUGAAAUUCAUAUGAAAGCUAUAUGCGCUGCAGGAGAGCUUUGCGUCCUAUUAGCUAGUUGGUGAGGUAACGGCUCGCCAAGGCGAUGAUAGGUAGCCGGCCUGAGAGGGUGAACGGCCACGAAGGGGACUGAGACACGGGCCCUUACUCCGUACGGGAGGCAGCAGGUGGGGAAUAGUUGGGAACAAGUGGAACCAAAGGUCUGACUCCAGCAAUUCUGUGUGCACGAU